GUUUUUAAUAACUAAUGCUAUUUAUUGUAGGGUGAAGCUCAAUUUGGAUGCCAUAGAUAUGGUUCUCUCCCAUCUUAUAGCAGACCAGUCUUUUUACAGCAUUUUCCGAUGUACCGUGAAUCUGAUGCCUUAUGUUCAGAACCAGAUUCUGCUCCUCCUG